UGGCAAUAAAAAAAGCAGAAUCUAUCCCCGAUGAUAGGCUUUUUUGUUGU
rnacentral:ncRNA from 1 species